UGGGGAAUUUUGGACAAUGGGCGAAAGCCUGAUCCAGCAAUGCCGCGUGCAGGAAGAAGGCCUUCGGGUUGUAAACUGCUUUUGUACGGAACGAAAAGGCUCUUUCUAAUAAAGAGGGCCCAUGACGGUACCGUAAGAAUAAGCACCGGCUAACUACGUGCCAGCAGCCGCGGUAAUACGUAGGGUGCGAGCGUUAAUCGGAAUUACUGGGCGUAAAGCGUGCGCAGGCGGUUCUAUAAGACAGAUGUGAAAUCCCCGGGCUCAACCUGGGAAUGGCAUUUGUGACUGUAGAGCUAGAGUACGGUAGAGGGGGAUGGAAUUCCGCGUGUAGCAGUGAAAUGCGUAGAUAUGCGGAGGAACACCGAUGGCGAAGGCAAUCCCCUGGACCUGUACUGACGCUCAUGCACGAAAGCG
rnacentral:rRNA from 1 species